rnacentral:misc_RNA from 1 species
CUUCUUCUUCUUCUUCUUCUUAGUGGGAUCAAAGGGGGCAAUAUCUGCCACCUGAUCAUUCACAUCAUUCUGAACUUCAUCUGCCAUGGUUCCUCGACGAUUAGUGUUGUAAAAGAAUGCGGUGCGGCUGCAGCAAAACAAGGAACGGGGUGCCGGCGCGGUUCAGCAGAGAGGAAGAUGGGGAGAAAUGAAAGAAAAAGUGUUCCCGAUGGAUGCGUACGGGCGUGGGUUGUUGUAGAGAGAGGGAGUCAGGGAGAUAUGACGAAGAAUGAAAAGGGAAAAAGGGGGAAGGUGCAAAUGUCCGGCUGCUGCAGUGGGCAGUGG